GACGAACGCUGGCGGCGUGCUUAACACAUGCAAGUCGAACGAAGUGGCGCACGGGUGAGUAACGCGUAAUCAACCUGCCCUUCAGCGGGGGACAACAGUUGGAAACGACUGCUAAUACCGCAUACUGAAGGAGGGGCUUGCGUCCGAUUGGCUAGUUGGAGGGGUAACGGCCCCCCGAGGCGAUGAUCAGUAGCCGGUCUGAAGGGAUGAACGGCCACAGUGGGAAUGGGACACGGCCCAGACUCCUACGGGAGGCAGCAGUGGGGAAUCUUCCGCAAUGGACGAAAGUCUGACGGAGCAACGCCGCGUGAGUGAUGACGGCCUUCGGGUUGUAAAGCUCUGUUAAUCGGGACGCGGUACCGGAAUAGAAAGCCACGGCUAACUACGUGCCAGCAGCCGCGGUAAUUC
rnacentral:rRNA from 1 species